GGAUGCGGUGGCGGCGGAGUUCGCGCCCGCGCUGCUGCCGGCGGCGCGCGGGCGGGUGCCCCUGCUUUCGUUCGGCACCGGAUUCGCCCA
rnacentral:tRNA from 1 species